UUAUAAAAGGUCUUAUUUAUUUAUUAAACUGCAAAUUUAAAAAAGAAUUUUAUUCU
rnacentral:tRNA from 1 species